AAUAUAUUUGGCUAAUUAACACGGCGAAAUCAUGAUUAAGUAUUUAAUCGUUCGAAACGCUCACACGCCUGUUUGAUUUAAACAGUCGCUUCAUAUAUAGUAGCCUUCAGCCAGCACUAAUCCGGUAUAGUGCGGAUGAGCGAAUCGGCCGUAAGGAAAAAUCGUUCCGCGAAAUCCUCGAUCGGCGAGCACUGAUAGAUUCCACUGAAUCGACUUCUAGGUUGUUUUCACAGUCGGAUCUUAUAUUUAAGAACAUUGUAAGUUCACUUUCCGACGCUGCAGAGGUCGUUUCAUUGGCUACGAAGGCAUCUGAAGGUGAACCUAAGACGACUUCGACCCGUUUCAGGUCGUUUGAUAUUUCAGCUCUAAAAUGAAACGCAGCCAUGAAAUACUUCCAUAAUUAUUACGAGGCGCGCUCGACGAAUGAAACUUGGCUCGGUGGUGACGGGACACGUGAAAUUCGCCCGGCGUCGCACGUGUUAAAUAUAAGAUCGGUCUGUAAAUAACAUCGGUGGGAGACUUUUACAAUGCGAGCCGUGAAAUGAAGCCUCCUCGCGGGCGGAAAAUACGAAAAUACAGCCGCGUUUCACGGAGAGAGAGACCCCCCCCUCUCCGGCGCAAAAAGGCAAAGAGUCAAGUGAAAAUUCAAUCGACUUUGAAUCGCGGGGGGUUUACGUAUAUUUUUCUCGGCGGGAAGCCUCGUCGUUAAAUAUGGGACACGCUAUCUCCGCGGGACAAGGGGAUUUUUUCGCGCUCCUCGUAGAGAAAUAGAUGAGCGCGGGUGUCGAGGAGAUUUAAUGGCGGUGUUAAGCUGCGAAAAAAUAAAGGUGAGAGACGCGGUGGCGAACGCGCACCAGGCGUUAGGAUGCAAAUGAAAGUGGGAAUAAAGUGGAGUGACGCGAGAAGAGAAGAACGAAAGAGGCGAGCCAGCUAACGUUGUCGUGUGUGCACGAAGAGAGAGAGAGAGAGAGAGAAAGGGAACUACCGUGGCUCUACUCCGCGGUUUCUAAGGACGAGAUCUAGUCGCUUCUAAUAGGAUAGAUAAACACAACGGAUCUUCGCUCCGAAAUGCUCGGCAAAUGUUGCGAUCUCCCCUCGGCAAGAAAGUCAAACGUCGUGCCAUUUGUUCCGUCGCGGUGGUACACGUGGUACACGAUUUGCCAAUGGCAAAUAUAUUUCAUUGGUCGAGAAAAAGAGAGAAAGAGAGAGAGAGAGAGAUGCCGGCUUACAUUUUACGAUUCUCCAAACGCGCCGAUUGUGUAUUCGCGAGAAUCUGCGAGAGGUUACAGCGGACCUAUUUCUUUACGGUCUCUCUCUCUCUUUCUUUCUCCCUCUCUGUUUUCACUAUGUAAUGCUAUAAUAUUAUCGCGAUUUCUCACUUCUCCUUCCCGUGAAUAUGUUAUAUAAGUCGCCGGUUAUCCGUUCUAUUCGUAAAACAACCAACUCCCCGGGCAACUCGGAAGAAUUCACGACAGAAUCCGGAGCGCGGCUCGCAGGACGGAAACGAUCGAGAAAUCGAAAUGAUAGGCGGAAAAUGAAGAUAAUGGGGAUGAUGAAUACACUAAACGUUUCACGGACACGCGAUUUCCCAGCGUGUGUGUGCGUGUGUGUGAUGCAGAGUCGCGCGUGCCACGGAGAGAAGGAGCUUUCGACUUGGAGUCUGCGAUUCGUUGAUUAUUCUCGGAGGACUGGGGCAACCAGGAAAGGCUCAUCUCAGCGGGCGCGUCGCCUUCGUCUUAUUAGAGACCUCUUCUGCGCGCCGAGAGAUGCAAUCUCGUCCGACCGCGCGUUUCCAUCCCCGCGAUGAAUGGGCGGCGCGAGCGGUAGGAAUCUCCUCCGCAGGCUCGACGGCUCGCAAGCUCGCAAGCUCGCGCGCUACGCGAACGUCUCUCUCUCUCUCUCUCUCUCCCUCUCUGUGUUACACGAAAAGCCACUCUCCGUGCGACCCAUUAUGCAAAUUAUGCCUACCGGCGGCGAAACGUAUGCAUUUCCACCGUCGAGAAAUGGAACUCGUACUUGGCGCAAGCGCUCCGGCAAGGUGAACAACGCGAUAACGGAAAGAAGUGACGGAAGGAAGCGAGAGACCUCCCGAAAUUUUGGUCUUGUGUUGAAACCUUGGCUAAAUCUGAACAACAUUGGUGCGAUCGAUAAAUCGAAACAUAUAUGGUUUUAAGCAAUCGGCAACAUGCAAAACAAAUGAACAGCGAUUCGUAGCUAUGUCAAAAGAAGUGACGAUCGCUCCAAGUGUUAGAGGAUUGUUCUUUCGCAGCUAGUCUUUCGAUUCUAGUCGAUCGGCGGAUCUUAGCGGUGUAAACGCUAUUGUGAGCUGAGGAAAAGGAAAAAAAUGUUAUCUGACACAGAUUUUUCUUCGGAUAAAGAAAUUCAAGAUGUAGAUGGUGAUGUAUCACCGUUAUUUCGUCGACGUGUCGUGAGACGAAUCUCGUCAGAAUCAUCGGACGAUGAGAAUAUUAAUUUAUAUACGCGGAGAAGAGAACAAUGUUUGCAAGCACACGUAAACGAGAAGAGAACUCAAAAUGCACCAUGACUUUGAUGGUCUCAGAAAGUGAAGCUCUCACAGAAAAGUUAACUUUUAUGGUGUUUAAUAACAGAGCAAAAAAUGAACUUCACGAUAAAAGUUUUUUGAAUACGCUAGGUUCAAUAGUUACUUAGAUAUCAACAUUUGUAUAAGGAGAAAAUCAACCAAACAAGCGCGGCUACUUUCGUAUUAUGCCUUCGAGAAGUUCGAACACAUUGGUCAAGCGUUUUCGGGUGGGACCGCAAAGUGUUGAACCAUCGAUUCUACGACGUAGUAGAAGCUAAGAUACGUUAAAACAGGACGACGGGGGUAGCGUUAAAAUUCAAUCCGCCGAAUUAAAGGCGAGGAAAUCGAGUCGACAGUCACGCCAGGCCGGUUUUCGGAUGUAGGGAGAACUUGGGCCAAUCAAAAUCCGGAUAAUUGGUUAAUAUCCGGGAAUAUGCCGAGGCGCGCGACAACUCGAUCGAACCCGCCCGGGGCGAGUCCGUCCUCCUCGUAAUUCACUGCAGUUAGCUCUUCGCUUGCGAUCAAACUUGUAUCCGCCUUGAAAAGUUUCGCGCCGGCUGCGAGGGUGCCAUUUUUCCCGAGGAUCGAACGGAAGCCGAUGGAGCGUAUCGGCCGCACCCGAAUUGAAUCAACCCCGUCCCGCGCGUUACGUCAUCCGGCGAACGCGAAAACAAUGAGAUCAAGGCGAAAUAUCAGGUGUAUAAAUUAUCAUGUGCCGGAAAAAGCUCCUGCGGAUUCUCAGGUCUAAAUCGGAAACACUCGGAACUUUUCAAAAAAGUAGUAGCAUGGAAUUCAUUUGUAAACCUAUUAAUACGUACGAAACUGUGCGGAAUUGGGCGAAGAAGGCGGGGUGGGAGGUGGGGGACAUUUUUUCGCGAUUGUUGGAGAAAAUGCCACAGCCGAUGACGGACUUCAUAAGCGUCGAUAAUGUAAAGGCGAUUCUCAACAUGUUGUGACGCAAUGUGUUACGUGAACAUUGACACGAUCCGGCUACUCUUUUUGUGUUUUUUCGUACGUAUUGAGAUUAUGUAAAU